UACGUAGGGUGCAAGCGUUGUCCGGAAUUAUUGGGCGUAAAGAGCUCGUAGGCGGUUUGUCGCGUCGAAUGUGAAAACCCGUGGCUCAACCAUGUGGUCUGCAGUCGAUACGGGCAGGCUAGAAUUCGGUAGGGGAGACUGGAAUUCCUGGUGUAGCGGUGAAAUGCGUAGAUAUCGGGAGGAACAUCAGUGGCGAAGGCGGCUGCCUGGCCCAAUACUGACACUCAGGUGCGACAGCGUGGGGAGCAAACAGG
rnacentral:rRNA from 1 species